rnacentral:rRNA from 1 species
AGUGAACGCUGGCGGUAGGCCUAACACAUGCAAGUCGAACGGCAGCACAGUAAGAGCUCGCUCUUACGGGUGGCGAGUGGCGGACGGGUAAGGCAUACAUCGGAAUCUACUUUUUCGUGGGGGAUAACGUAGGGAAACUUACACUAAUACCGCAUACGACCUACGGGUGAAAGCAGGGGAUCUUCGGACCUUGCGCGAUUGAAUGAGCCGAUGUCGGAUUAGCUAGUUGGCGGGGUAAAGGCCCACCAAGGCGACGAUCCGUAGCUGGUCUGAGAGGAUGAUCAGCCACACUGGAACUGAGACACGGUCCAGACUCCUACGGGAGGCAGCAGUGGGGAAUAUUCGGCAAUGGGCGCAAGCCUGAUGCAGCCAUACCGCGUGAGUGAAGAAGGCCUUCGGGUUGUAAAGCCCUUUUGUUGGGAAAGAAAAGCAGUAGGUUAAUCCCCCGCUGUUCUGACGGUACCCAAAGAAUAAGCACCGGCUAACUUCGUG